GGAAUUCCCGGUGUAGCGGUGGAAUGCGUAGAUAUCGGGAGGAACACCAGUGGCGAAGGCGGCCUACUGGGCACCAACUGACGCUGAGGCUCGAAAGUGUGGGUAGCAAACAGGAUUAGAUACCCUGGUAGUCCACACCGUAAACGAUGAUUACUAGGUGUUGGAGGAUUGACCCCUUCAGUGCCGCAGUUAACACAAUAAGUAAUCCACCUGGGGAGUACGACCGCAAGGUUGAAACUCAAAGGAAUUGACGGGGGCCCGCACAAGCAGUGGAGUAUGUGGUUUAAUUCGACGCAACGCGAAGAACCUUACCAAGUCUUGACAUCCUGCGACGAUGCUGGAAACAGUAUUUUCCUUCGGGACGCAGAGACAGGUGGUGCAUGGUUGUCGUCAGCUCGUGUCGUGAGAUGUUGGGUUAAGUCCCGCAACGAGCGCAACCCUUACUGUCAGUUACUACGCAAGAGGACUCUGGCAGGACUGCCGUUGACAAAACGGAGGAAGGUGGGGAUGACGUCAAAUCAUCAUGCCCUUUAUGACUUGGGCUACACACGUACUACAAUGGCGUUAAACAAAGAGAAGCAAGACCGCGAGGUGGAGCAAAACUCAGAAACAACGUCCCAGUUCGGACUGCAGGCUGCAACUCGCCUGCACGAAGUCGGAAUUGCUAGUAAUCGUGGAUCAGCAUGCCACGGUGAAUACGUUCCCGGGCCUUGUACACACCGCCCGUCACACCAUGAGAGCCGGGGGGACCCGAAGUCGGUAGUCUAACCGCAAGGAGGACGCCGCCGAAGGUAAAACUGGUGAUUGGGGUGAAGUCGUAACAAGGUAGCCGUAGGAGAACCUGCGGCUG
rnacentral:rRNA from 1 species